rnacentral:RNase_P_RNA from 2 species
GCGGAUGGCUGGAUGACCGCGGUGCCCCGUAGCUCUGCCUCAAAGCAGAUAGCCGGAUCACCGAGGAAAGUCCGGACUCCAUGAAGUAACGGUGCCGGGUAACGCCCGGCGGGGGCAACCCCAGGGAAAGCGCCACAGAAAACAAACCGCCCCGUGGAUGGCCCGUUGGCCGUCACACACACGCGGGUCAGGGUGAAACGGUGGGGUAAGAGCCCACCGCGGGACUGGCAACAGGACCGGCACGGCAAGCCCCACCGGGAGCAACGCCGAAUAGGGAUCGCGUGCUUGUGGGCAACCACAUAGCAGGGGAACUUCGCCCCGAGCGGUCCGGGUUGGCAGCUAGACCCUACAGGCAACUGUAGGGCCAGAGGAAUGGUCAUCCAAAGGGGGCAGCCCCUUGGACAAAAUCCGGCUUAUAGGCCGUCCGCGCAU